AGCACUAGUUAAGAACAUUCAUCUCAAAGAAACAAAGACUUACAGACAGAUGCAAAAAAUAAAUCUUCUUUUGAGACUCAGAACUCGUUGUUCAGUAUGAGUUUUGAUAGGUGCAGGAAGAAAUAUU
rfam:Ictidomys tridecemlineatus contig008248, whole genome shotgun sequence.